GACGAACGCUGGCGGCGUGCUUAACACAUGCAAGUGGAGCGACGAACCAGGGCUUGCCCUGGGGCAGAGCCGCGAACGGGUGAGUAACACGUGGGUAACGUGCCCCAAUGAUCGGGACAACCCGGGGAAACCCGGGCUAAUACCGAAUGUGCUCCCCUCACACCAGUGAGGGAUGGAAAGGAAGCUUCGGCCUCCGCAUUCGGAACGGCCCGCGGCCCAUUAGCUUGGUGGUGAGGUAACGGCUCACCAAGGCUGCGAUGGGUAGAUGGUCUGAGAGGACGAUCAGCCACACUGGGACUGAGACACUGCCCAGACUCCUACGGGAGGCAGCAGUGGGGAAUCUUGCGCAAUGCGCGAAAGCGUGACGCAGCAACGCCGCGUGGGGGAAGAAGGCCUUCGGGUUGUAAACCCCUUUCAGGAGGGACGAAGCGUGGGCGGUUAAUAGCCGAUCCACGUGACGGUACCUCCAGAAGAAGCCCCGGCUAACUACGUGCCAGCCGCCGCCGUAACAC
rnacentral:rRNA from 1 species